CUCUCUCUCUCUCUCUCUCUCUCUCUCUCUCUCUCGAUUCUACUCACAGGAGCUUCCUCUCCCCUCACCCCUCUCUCUCAAUACUCUGCCACCUUUGACGAUUCCAUGAUGACGACACUAUGACGAUGAUGUUGACUGGGGUUAGGGUUUUGCAACAACGAGGUAUGCCUCCCCCUCCCUCUCCUUCUCCUGCCCACUCUCUUUCCCUCCCCCUAGUUCCAGUGCACCUCAACUCAAUACGGUACAUACCAGUAUACUGGCAUUGAACCGAUCGUCGGCCAGUACGUUCCCCGAUACUGAUUCAGGGAACCUUGAUUAUAAUAAUCAUAAAUUUAAUAAUCUCUUUGAAAGUAUUCUAGUUCAUAAUAUUCUAAGAUCAAAAUAUCAGAAAUCAUGUAUUGUUGAUCUAAUCAUCAAAGUAAAGUUUAUAUAGAAAACUGAUCUUUUUAAGGACUAAAAUCAGGUUUCUUAAUAGAUCUGGAUUUUGAAUCCAUUUCGACUCGUCUUGAUGGGGCUUCAAUUAGACUCUCUUUGAGAUGCUAAAUUAGCUAGACUGCACAUCUCAAUCUUAUUUAGGUUUAUUUACUUAUUUCUUUGCAUAAAACCAAUCAAGGUUUUGAGUUAAGUCUUAGCAUCCAGCACCAUACAAAUGACUGAUUUUUGGGUAUACCCCCAUAGACAUGAGGCACACUACAAGAGCUGGCACAACACCUAUAUUUUCUCAGUAUCAAGGCAUACCAAGCCUCUGUAUUGUACUAGUAUCAAACCACGUCAGUACAGUACACCCCCUGCCGCCCAACACAGGUUGGUACUUAGAACCUUGGCAUAAGUAAAGAGGGGUGUGGCUGCAAUGUUGUAUGAAUUUAUUGAUGGUUGAAUUGACAAGUACUUUGAGCUGUAAUCUCAAAACUUUGAAUGGAACUGUGCACAAAUAAAUGUGAAAGAAAUAAGUCCUUGUGAUA
rnacentral:lncRNA from 1 species